GAUGAACGCUGGCGGCGUGCCUAAUACAUGCAAGUCGAGCGAACGGACGAGAAGCUUGCUUCUCUGAUGUUAGCGGCGGACGGGGGAGUAACACGUGGAUAACCUACCUAUAAAACUGGGAUAACUUCGGGAAACCGGAGCUAAUACCGGAUAAUAUUUUGAACCGCAUGGUUAAAAAGUAAAAGACGGUCUUGCGGUCACUUAUAGAUGGACCCGCGCUGCAUUAGCUAGUUGGUAAGGUAACGGAUUACCAAGGCAACGAUGCAUAGCCGACCUGAGAGGGUGAUCGGCCACACUGGAACUGAGACACGGUCCAGACUCCUACGGGAGGCAGCAGUAGGGAAUCUUCCGCAAUGGGCGAAAGCCUGACGGAGCAACGCCGCGUGAGUGAUGAAGGUCUUCGGAUCGUAAAACUCUGUUAUUAGGGAAGAACAUAUGUGUAAGUAACUGUGCACAUCUUGACGGUACCUAAUCAGAAAGCCACGGCUAACUCCGUG
rnacentral:rRNA from 1 species